AGUGAACGCUGGCGGUAGGCCUAACACAUGCAAGUCGAACGGCAGCACAGUAAGAGCUUGCUCUUACGGGUGGCGAGUGGCGGACGGGUGAGGAAUACAUCGGAAUCUACUUUUUCGUGGGGGAUAACGUAGGGAAACUUACGCUAAUACCGCAUACGACCUACGGGUGAAAGCAGGGGAUCUUCGGACCUUGCGCGAUUGAAUGAGCCGAUGUCGGAUUAGCUAGUUGGCGGGGUAAAGGCCCACCAAGGCGACGAUCCGUAGCUGGUCUGAGAGGAUGAUCAGCCACACUGGAACUGAGACACGGUCCAGACUCCUACGGGAGGCAGCAGUGGGGAAUAUUGGACAAUGGGCGCAAGCCUGAGCCAGCCAUACCGCGUGGGUGAAGAAGGCCUUCGGGUUGUAAAGCCCUUUUGUUGGGAAAGAGAAGCAGCAGGUUAAUACCCCGCUGUUCUGACGGUACCCAAAGAAUAAGCACCGGCUAACUUCGU
rnacentral:rRNA from 1 species